rnacentral:rRNA from 1 species
UACGAGGGGGGGCAAGCGUUGUUCGGAAUUAUUGGGCGUAAAGAGCUCGUAGGCGGCCUGUUGCGUCCGCUGUGAAAUCCCAGGGCUCAACCCUGGGCGUGCAGUGGAUACGGGCAGGCUGGAGGCAGGCAGGGGGAGAACGGAAUUCCCGGUGUAGCGGUGAAAUGCGCAGAUAUCGGGAGGAACACCGGUGGCGAAGGCGGUUCUCUGGGCCUGUACUGACGCUGAGGAGCGAAAGCGUGGGGAGCGAACAGG